GCUAACGCGUUAAGUCGACCGCCUGGGGAGUACGGCCGCAAGGUUAAAACUCAAAUGAAUUGACGGGGGCCCGCACAAGCGGUGGAGCAUGUGGUUUAAUUCGAUGCAACGCGAAGAACCUUACCUGGUCUUGACAUCCACGGAAGUUUUCAGAGAUGAGAAUGUGCCUUCGGGAACCGUGAGACAGGUGCUGCAUGGCUGUCGUCAGCUCGUGUUGUGAAAUGUUGGGUUAAGUCCCGCAACGAGCGCAACCCUUAUCCUUUGUUGCCAGCGGUCCGGCCGGGAACUCAAAGGAGACUGCCAGUGAUAAACUGGAGGAAGGUGGGGAUGACGUCAAGUCAUCAUGGCCCUUACGACCAGGGCUACACACGUGCUACAAUGGCGCAUACAAAGAGAAGCGACCUCGCGAGAGCAAGCGGACCU
rnacentral:rRNA from 1 species